rnacentral:rRNA from 1 species
UUUGACCUCGGAUCAGGUAGGGAUACCCGCUGAACUUAAGCAUAAUCAAUAAGCGGAGGAAAAGAAACCAACAGGGAUUUGCCCUAGUAACGGCGAGUGAAGCGGCAACAGCUCAAAUUUGAAAUCUGGCGUCUUCGGCGUCCGAGUUGUAAUUUGCAGAGGGCGCUUUGGCAUUGGCAGCGGUCCAAGUUCCUUGGAACAGGACGUCACAGAGGGUGAGAAUCCCGUACGUGGUCGCUAGCCUUUACCGUGUAAAACCCCUUCGACGAGUCGAGUUGUUUGGGAAUGCAGCUCUAAAUGGGAGGUAAAUUUCUUCUAAAGCUAAAUACUGGCCAGAGACCGAUAGCGCACAAGUAGAGUGAUCGAAAGAUGAAAAACACUUUGGGAAAGAGAGUUAAAAAGCACGUGAAAUUGUUGAAAGGGAAGCGCUUGCAGCCAGACUUGCCCGUAGUUGGUCAUCCGGGUUUUUACCCGGUGCCCUUUUCUAUAGGCAGGCCAGCAUCAGGUUGGGCGGUUGGAUAAAGGUUUUUGUCAUGACCUCU